rnacentral:rRNA from 2 species
CAUGCAGUCGAGCGAAUGAUAGGGAGCUUGCUCCCUUGAUUUAGCGGCGGACGGGUGAGUAACACGUGGGCAACCUACCUGUAAGACUGGGAUAACUUCGGGAAACCGGAGCUAAUACCGGAUAAUUUCUUUUCUCGCAUGAGAAGAGAUGGAAAGACGGUUUCGGGUGUCACUUACAGAUGGGCCCGCGGCGCAUUAGCUAGUUGGUGAGGUAAUGGCUCACCAAGGCCACGAUGCGUAGCCGACCUGAGAGGGGGAUCGGCCAAACUGGGACUGAGACACGGCCCAGACUCCUACGGGAGGCAGCAGUAGGGAAUCUUCCGCAAUGGACGAAAGUCUGACGGAGCAACGCCGCGUGAACGAAGAAGGCCUUCGGGUCGUAAAGUUCUGUUGUUAGGGAAGAACAAGUACCAGAGUAACUGCUGGUACCUUGACGGUACCUAACCAGAA